AUAACCCCAUACACUGCGCAGAGGGGCCCGGGGAAAGCCGGCCUCACGGGCGGGAGGGAGAGGCUUGAGCGAGGGGCUAGAGCCGCGAGGACUGACCAGCACCAGAGGAUACAAGAGGAGGAGAGAGACCUCACUGGUUCGGGCGACAUUUCACCCCCCCAGCACCCCAGUCGGCACAGACCAAAAAGAAGAAUGUACUUCAUCUGGUUGGGCUGGAUUCCCUCUGAUAAGCCUUCCCAGUUGACUGAAAGAUGAGGCUAGGCUCUAGCAAGUUGAAGUCAAACCAGCUCCUUCAAGAAGCUUUGAGCAGAAUGAAGUGGGGAGGACCCAGCUUCCAGCCCAGGAAGCCCACUGUACCUGGAGCCAUCUGGGAUAAGACUUUGACCCAUGACUCCCAUAUCCACAGCCUGUCCAUCCUAGCCCAUCCCAGUUUAUCCUGUAUCAUUUGAGCUGGGAUUCCCACAUCCUCUGAGUUGGAAGUCCCAUCUCAAGUCUUCAAUAAAGACUCUUGAAUAUUGAAUCACAUUAA
rnacentral:lncRNA from 1 species